rnacentral:rRNA from 1 species
AUUGAACGCUGGCGGCAGGCCUAACACAUGCAAGUCGAACGAGCAGCGGGCGGGUGAGGAAUGUCUGGGAACCUGCCUGUUGGCUAGGGAUAACUACUGGACACGGUAGCUAAUACGGCAUACAAUCAGAUUUGCCCAGAUGGGGUUGGCUGGUCGGUGGGGUAACGGCUCACCUAGGCGACGAUCCCUAGCUGGUCUGAGAGGAUGACCAGCCACACUGGAACUUAGACACGGCCCAGACUCCUACGGGAGGCAGCAGUGGGGAAUAUUGCACAAUGGGCGCAAGCCUGAUCCAGCCAUGCCGCGUGUGUGAAGAAGGUUUUCGGAUUGUAAAGCACUUUAAGUUGGGAGGCGUUACCAACAGAAUAAGCACCGGCUAACUUCGUGCCAGCAGCCGCGGUAAUUC